AGUCUUAUAUUCAAUUAUGAUUUUAAAUUGCAAAUUUAAAGGUAAGGAUUAACUUUAAGGCUU
rnacentral:tRNA from 1 species